AUACGAAAGGUGCAAGCGUUGUUCGGAUUUACUGGGCGUAAAGAGAGUGUAGGUUGUUUAUUAAGUCGGAUGUGAAAUCCCGGGGCUCAACCUCGGAACUGCAUUCGAUACUGGUAGACUAGAGUUCGGGAGGGGUAAGCGGAAUUCCGUGUGUAGCAGUGAAAUGCGUAGAUAUACGGAGGAACACCUGGGGCGAAGGCGGCUUACUGGACCGAUACUGACACUGAGACUCGAAAGCGUGGGUAGCAAACAGGAUUAGAAACCCCAGUAGUCC
rnacentral:rRNA from 1 species